UGUUCUUUGACUUAGUUGGUUAGAGCGCUGUUCUUGCGAAUACGGAGUCGUGGGUUCAAAUCCCACCAGAACAC
rnacentral:tRNA from 1 species